rnacentral:rRNA from 1 species
GAGUAAUGCGUGACCGACCUGCCCCAUGCUCCGGAAUAGCUCCUGGAAACGGGUGGUAAUGCCGGAUGUUCCACAUGAUCGCAUGUGAUUGUGGGAAAGAUUCUAUCGGCGUGGGAUGGGGUCGCGUCCUAUCAGCUUGUUGGUGAGGUAACGGCUCACCAAGGCUUCGACGGGUAGCCGGCCUGAGAGGGCGACCGGCCACAUUGGGACUGAGAUACGGCCCAGACUCCUACGGGAGGCAGCAUG